CCCAAUGCGGCUGAUAGGCAUGCAGUCGAGCGCUCAUCAGCCAUGGUGGGAGCGGCGAACGGCUUAGGGAGACUUAUGUGCGUGUCCUCGGGACGGGGAUAGGUACAGCUGCCUGAAAGUGCUAUUCGACCUCACUGCGUCUCAAGAGUGUGAUUGUGCCUGGGGAGCGGCUUACGCCUUAUUAGCUAGUUGGUGGGGUAAUGGCCUGGCCCGCGAUGAUGUCUUGGGGGUGUGAGAUGUGGCCCCCCGACCGGAACUGAGAUACUGUCCGGACACCUACGGGUGGCUGCACUCCAGAAUCUUCCGCAAUGGACGAAAGUCUGACCUGAGACACCGCGUGCGGGAUGAAGGCCCUUGGGUUGUAAACCGCUGUCAGAGGGGAUGAAAUCUUCUGAGGUACUCCUCCCCUCCUUACCUAGCCUCAUCCGAAGCACGGGCUAAGUACGUGCCAGCGCCCGCGGUAACACUUACUGUGCGAACGUUAUUCGGAAUCACUGGGCUGGAGGGUGCGUAGGCGGCGAUUCAAGUCAGAUGUGAAAUGCCUGACCUCAACUGAGGCAUUGCGUUUGAAACUGAACUGCUUGAGUAUCCUAGGGGUGUGCGUGAACUGCCAGUGGAACGGUGAAAUGUGUUGAUAUUGAUAGGAACACCGGACGCGUGGCGGCACACUGGGGUAUAACUGACGCUGAGGCACGAGACCAAGGGAGCGAAGGGAUUAGAUACCCCGGUAGUCUUGGCCUAAACUAUGAGUACUGGGCGGGAUGGGAUGUCCCCUUUCUGCCGUAUCGAAAGCGUUAAGUACUCCACCUGGGGAGUAUGGUCGUAUGGCUGAAACUCAAAGAAUUGACGG
rnacentral:rRNA from 1 species